CAGAGAGGAGCUGCCACUUGGGCACUGAAACAAUGUCCAUUAGGCUUUGUUAUGGAAACUUCUCCUGAUCAUUGUUUUGUGUCCAUUGAGCUUCCAAU
ensembl:miRNA MIR635 microRNA 635